GCGGGUAUAGUAUAGCGGUUAUUAUAUGAGUUUUCCAAACUCGAGAUGAUGGUUCGAUUCCGUCUACCCGCACCA
rnacentral:tRNA from 1 species